CCUACGGGUGGCUGCAGUGGGGAAUCUUCCGCAAUGGACGAAAGUCUGACGGAGCAACGCCGCGUGAGUGAUGAAGGUCUUCGGAUUGUAAAGCUCUGUUAAUCGGGACGAAAGAGCCUAGUGUGAAUAAUGCUAGGAAGUGACGGUACCGGAAUAGAAAGCCACGGCUAACUACGUGCCAGCAGCCGCGGUAAUACGUAGGUGGCAAGCGUUGUCCGGAAUUAUUGGGCGUAAAGCGCGCGCAGGCGGAUCUGCCAGUCUGUCUUAAAAGUUCGGGGCUUAACCCCGUGAUGGGAUGGAAACUACAGAUCUAGAGUAUCGGAGAGGAAAGUGGAAUUCCUAGUGUAGCGGUGAAAUGCGUAGAUAUUAGGAAGAACACCAGUGGCGAAGGCGACUUUCUGGACGAAAACUGACGCUGAGGCGCGAAAGCCAGGGGAGCGAACGGGCUUAGAUACCCCGGUAGUC
rnacentral:rRNA from 1 species